rnacentral:rRNA from 1 species
GAGUGAACGCUAGCGGCAGGCUUAACACAUGCAAGUCGAGGGGUAUAGUUCUUCGGAACUAGAGACCGGCGCACGGGUGCGUAACGCGUAUGCAAUCUACUUUUACAGAGGGAUAGCCCAGAGAAAUUUGGAUUAAUACCUCAUAGUAUGUGAGAAUCGCAUGGUUUUCACAUUAAAGUUCCAACGGUAAAAGAUGAGCAUGCGUCCCAUUAGCUAGAUGGUAAGGUAACGGCUUACCAAGGCUACGAUGGGUAGGGGUCCUGAGAGGGAGAUCCCCCACACUGGUACUGAGACACGGACCAGACUCCUACGGGAGGCAGCAGUGAGGAAUAUUGGUCAAUGGGCGCAAGCCUGAACCAGCCAUGCCGCGUGCAGGAUGACGGUCCUAUGGAUUGUAAACUGCUUUUGUACAGGAAGAAACACUCCCUCGUGAGGGAGCUUGACGGUACUGUAAGAAUAAGGAUCGGCUAACUCCGUG